AUUGAACGCUGGCGGCAGGCCUAACACAUGCAAGUCGAACGAGUGGCGGACGGUUGAGUAAUGUCUGGGAAAGCGACUGAUGGAGGGGGAUAACUACUGGACACGGUUGCUAAUACCGCAUUCCAUCAGAUGUGCCCAGAUGGGAUUGGCUUGUUGGUGGGGUAACGGUGCGCCAAGGCGACGAUCCCUAGCUGGUCUGAGAGGAUGACCAGACACACGGGAACUGAGACACGGUCCAGACUCCUACGGGAGGCAGCAGUGGGGAAUAUUGCACAAUGGGCGCAAGCCUGAGUCAGCCAUGCCGCGUGUAUGAAGAAGGCCUUCGGGUUGUAAAGUACUUUAAGCGGGGAGGCGUUACCCGCAGAAUAAGCACCGGCUAACUCCGUGCCAGCAGCCGCGGUAAUUC
rnacentral:rRNA from 1 species